rnacentral:misc_RNA from 1 species
UUUCCGUAGGUGAACCUGGGGAAGGAUCAUUCAUAAUAAAGUGUUUUAUGGCACUUUUUAAAAAUCCAUAUCCACCUUGUGUGCAAUGUUAGAUCUCGUCAAUCUUGGCGAGAUUUUUAUACAUCAACUCAUUUUUUAACUAAUUUGUCUGAAAAAUAUUAUGAAUACUUAAUUCAAAAUACAACUUUCAACAACGGAUCUCUUGGCUCUC